rnacentral:tRNA from 1 species
GGGGUUGUGGCUCAGUGGUAGAUCACUCACCUAGCACAUGUGAGGCGUUCCAGGCCUGGGUUCGAUCCUCAGCACCACA